rnacentral:lncRNA from 1 species
AAAAAUAAAUGAGAUGACGUGAAAACUUCGGACUUUCUGAUUGAUUGAUUUUCCUAUCUUACGUAGACAGCUUAUUUGAGGCUUAUAUUCCCUUUAUCUAAAAAUUAAAGAAAAAAAUAAGUAUAUAUUGAGAGACGUAGAAAGUCUUUUCCCUUGUUGAUAUCUUUAGUGCAACGAUUUAGACCAUGAUUAACCUUAGUUUUUUUAACUGGAUUUAGAUUUUAACUAAGAAAAACUAAAAACUGUCUCUUAAAUAAGAGAUAUAAGAACCGUCUAUUGAUCGAAAAGUAUAAAAAAACAAAAAAAUAUCAAAUUAUAAGUUAAUAAUCCCGGCUAACAGACCGGGGUUAAUCAUUCCCUUAGCUUGGCACAAAC